CUCAGGGACGUGUCUGCACCAGUGAGACUGCUGCUCUGGAUUCGGGAGUAAGCGCAUACUUCAUUCUCUUUCUUUUUUCCAUUUUGUUCAUCUCUUCUGUGAAGUGCCUGUUGAAAUAUUAUUCCAUUUGUUGAACCACAGAAAGAAUUGAAUAGGAUGUCUGGGAGAUUCUGAAGUUCUCUAGGAGUCACUUUUUAGCCGUAUAAAUUCCCUUUCGCUCUAGAUAUUUAUCGUAAGACCACGGUGAAGAAGCACAGAAAACCUGAAGUGCAAGUGCUCAGCACAGCGUUAUUUAUGGUAGCAGAAAUAUUAAAAAUAAAUUAAAUAACCAACUUUGAGGAUUGGUUAAAUACAUUUUAGUAGACCCAUACCAAAAGAUGCUCUGCAGCCAUUAAUCAAUGCUGCUGCUAAUAAUGUGCUUGUUAGUUACAUUAUUCACCAGAAAAUUUAUUUUAAAAUAUUAUGAACAGUUUUUUUUUCACAAUAUUGUACAAAAUAGAAAUGUCUCUGAUUAUACAACAAAAUAUCAACAGUAAUUUCCUCUGGGUAUAAAAUUACAAGUUAACUUUUUAUUUCUCUAUGCUUAUUGUCUAAUAUUUUAAAAAAUUAACAUAUAUUAUUUAUGAAAUUUAAGAGGUAUUUAGAACCAAAUUUUUAGAAAAUUAUAGACACAUGAAUUGUGCAUUUUACUGAAAGCUAUUCAUGGGUUCAGAAAGAAUGAAGUUAGUAGGUGGAAACACUAAAAAUAGAGACAAAAGAACGGCAUGAGGCAUAAGAAAAAAAUUUAGAAAGUUGUCACUUGCUGUAAGUUCUAUUGCAUUAAACCUUGUCGCUUAUGACUUCAGGAGACACACAGCAUCACUUGGUGGCGUAGGCU
rnacentral:lncRNA from 1 species